rnacentral:rRNA from 1 species
GACGAACGCUGGCGGCGUGCUUAACACAUGCAAGUCGAACGGAAAGGCCCUGCUUUUGUGGGGUGCUCGAGUGGCGAACGGGUGAGUAACACGUGAGUAAACUGCCCUUGACUUUGGGAUAACUUCAGGAAACUCGGGCUAAUACCGGAUAGGAGAUCUUGCUGCAUGGUGGGGGUUGGAAAGUUUCGGUGGUUGGGGAUGGACUGGCGGCUUAUCAGCUUGUUGGUGGGGUAGUGGCUUACCAAGGCUUUGACGGGUAGCCGGCCUGAGAGGGUGACCAGCCACAUUGGGACUGAGAUACGGCCCAGACUCCUACGGGAGGCAGCAGUGGGAAGUAUGGCACAAUGGGCGGAAGCCUGAUGCAGCAACGCCGCGUGCGGGAUGACGGCCUUCGGGUUGUAAACCGCUUUCGCAUGUGACGAAGCGUGAGUGACGGUAAUGGGUAAAGAAGCACCGGCUAACUACGUG